GACGAACGCUGGCGGCGUGCUUAACACAUGCAAGUCGAACGGUGAAGGGAUCAGCUUGCUGGUUCUGGAUGAGUGGCGAACGGGUGAGUAACACGUGAGUAACCUGCCCCCUUCUUCUGGAUAACCGCAUGAAAGUGUGGCUAAUACGGGAUAUUCUGGGUCUGUCGCAUGAUGGGUCUGGGAAAGAUAUUGUUUCGGUGGGGGAUGGGCUCGCGGCCUAUCAGCUUGUUGGUGGGGUGAUGGCCUACCAAGGCGGUGACGGGUAGCCGGCCUGAGAGGGUGGACGGUCACACUGGGACUGAGACACGGCCCAGACUCCUACGGGAGGCAGCAGUGGGGAAUAUUGCACAAUGGGCGCAAGCCUGAUGCAGCGACGCCGCGUGAGGGAUGGAGGCCUUCGGGUUGUUAACCUCUUUCGCCAGUGAAGCAGGCCUGCUCCUUGUGGGUGGGUUGACGGUAGCUGGAUAAGAAGCGCCGGCUAACUACGUGCCAGCAGCCGCGGUAAUACGUAUGGCGCGAGCGUUGUCCGGAAUUAUUGUGGCGUAAAGAGCUCGUAGGCGGCUGGUCGCGUCUGUCGUGAAAAUCCUCUUGGCUUAACUGGGGGCUUGCGGUGGGUACAGGCCGGCUUGAGUGCGGUAGGGGAGACUGGAACUCCUGGUGUAUCGUUUGUAAUGCCCAGAUAUCAGGAAGAACACCGGUGGCGAAGGCGGGUCUCUGCGCCCUUUACGGAUUUUGAGGAGCGAAAGUGUGGGGGAGCAAAAAGGAUUAUAUACCUAGUGGUCCACGGGGUGUAAUUCUC
rnacentral:rRNA from 1 species